rnacentral:rRNA from 1 species
UACGAAGGGGGCUAGCGUUGCUCGGAAUUACUGGGCGUAAAGGGCGCGUCGGCGGCCAGCUUAGUCAGAGGUGAAAGCCCAGGGCUCAACCUUGGAACUGCCUUUGAUACUGGCUGUCUUGAGUUCGGGAGAGGUGUGUGGAACUCCGAGUGUAGAGGUGAAAUUCGUAGAUAUUCGGAAGAACACCAGUGGCGAAGGCGACACACUGGCCCGAUACUGACGCUGAGGCGCGAAAGCGUGGGGAGCAAACAGG